AUUGAACGCUGGCGGCAUGCUUUACACAUGCAAGUCGAGCGGCAGCGCGGCCUUCGGGCUGGCGGCGAGCGGCGAACGGGUGAGUAAUGCAUCGGAACAUGCCCAGUCGUGGGGGAUAACACUACGAAAGAAGUGCUAAUACCGCAUCCGUCCUGAGGGGGAAAGCGGGGGAUCGCAAGACCUCGCGCGAUUGGAGUGGCCGAUGUCAGAUUAGCUAGUUGGUGGGGUAAGGGCCUACCAAGGCGACGAUCUGUAGCUGGUCUGAGAGGAUGAUCAGCCACACUGGAACUGAGACACGGCCCAGACUCCUACGGGAGGCAGCAGUGGGGAAUUUUGGACAAAGGGGGCAAGCCUGAUCCAGCCAUGCCGCGUGAGUGAAGAAGGCCUUCGGGUUGUAAAGCUCUUUCGGCAGGGACGAAACGGUGGGCUCUAACAUAGUCCGCUAUUGACGGUACCUGAAGAAGAAGCACCGGCUAACUACGUG
rnacentral:rRNA from 1 species